rnacentral:rRNA from 1 species
UACGUAGGGGGCAAGCGUUGUCCGGAUUUAUUGGGCGUAAAGAGCGUGUAGGCGGUCAGGUAGGUCCGUUGUGAAAACUCGAGGCUCAACCUCGAGACGCCGAUGGAAACCAUCUGACUAGAGUCCGGAAGAGGAGAGUGGAAUUCCUGGUGUAGCGGUGAAAUGCGCAGAUAUCAGGAGGAACACCCGUAGCGAAGGCGGCACUCUGGGCCGAUUCUGGCACUGAGGAGCGAAAGCGUGGGGAGCAAACAGG